rnacentral:snRNA from 1 species
CUCCUGUCACAGGGGUGAGCCACAGCACAGAACAACACAGAGAAGAAUCAGCAUGACCCCUGUGCAAGACUGCCAUACAAAACAUGAAGCAUUCCAUAUUUUG